rnacentral:rRNA from 1 species
GGCCAUGUCAGAUGACCAAAGAGAAGAAUGGUUAAACAAAUGUACGCCGGUGAAAGAGGAUACUGCUCAUUCUAUAACCGCAAUCUGCGGCAAUACAUAUGACACAAGUAGCAAUCAGAGCUGGUUUCUUCCUUGUCGUCUGCACAGUUGGUUGGUCGAGAACAAUCUGGAUGCAACUGAAGCCGAAUAUCUUGCUUAUGGAACCUACAAGAAGAGUAAGGAAACGUUCUAUCUUACUCUGAAUGAUGCCAACAAUACGGUUGUUCUUGUCACAUACAGCAAAAAUUUGCGAGAUUUUAGUUUUGAGUUUGCUGGUAUGAGCGCAUCAGAAGUCCUUGAAACGAAAAAAACUACUACCGAUACAUCCGACCAGGAAUCAUCUGCAGAUCAGGAAGCGGGAGAUGCAGCACUCUCUGAAUCUGCCAUGAAAGAGAUGGAGAAUAAUGCAGAAACAAAUUAGUGAUGAAAAAAGAAGCGGUAUAUACGUUUUGGCUGUUGAUGACUAUUUAUACAGAGUCGGGACACUCAAAGGAAAUUGGAUUUUUUUGCCCCAGGAUGAACAGAAGCUUUCCAAAUAUGAUGAUCGUUAUGUGAUCGUCAACUAUGAUUUAAGCCCUGCCGGAAAUUGCUGGAAGCAAACCUGGCUUUUGAAACAAAUUCAAGAGAACCGACAGGAAAUUCGGCAUUUAAACAAGAUCUUACAAAAUACUAAUUGCAAAGCUUUACAUUAAAGGAGGAUUACCUAUGAAAGUAGAACGAAACGGAAAAGAAUUUGAAUUAACGAAAGAUGAGCUUUUUUUGGCCCAUAAGGAAUAUGUUACAAGUUCUAUGCAACAUGUCUUAGAAAAUGAUUUCGAAAUUCCUGCCAAAUAUUCGGCACUUAUAGCUAAAGAAGCUUUUCAUAUGUAUCACGAAGGUGGUCAUGAAGAACAUCUUUCUAUUGAACUUGCGGCAGGAAACUAUCAUACACUCACACAUGAACCUACUGUAAAAAUUUUGUCAACAGAAAGUACAGAGUUUGAUACGGGACGUGAAAUGCCGUUACAUGAAGCAAAUUCUCGAUUUAAAGAUGUCGAUCAACUCACACAUGAACUUUAUGGCGAUCGUUCUUAUGAUAAAACCAAAUUUCAAUUAAAUUUUUCUUUAAAUGGAGAACAGGUGGUUUAUGAAGGAGUGCAGAAUCUUGGUAAUCUUGAAGGUUCCCUAAUUGACCAUACACCGAAGCUCAGGAAUGACAUAGUCAUUGGUAGAGGAGCAUUCUUAACGCGAAGAAGCAGUACCGUAAGGAGCUGUGGAGUGCUAAGAAGAGAGAAUGCCGGAAUGAGUAGCGAGAACAAGGUGAGAAUCCUUGUGGCCGAAUAUCCAAGGUCUCCAGGGUAAAGCUGAUCUGCCCUGGGUAAGUCGGGACCUAAGGUGAGGCUGAAAAGCGUAGCCGAUGGACAACAGGUUGAUAUUCCUGUACCGCAUGGUAACAGAACUGUGGGGACACGGGAGGGAAACAUGGGCCGGAAAUGGAAAGUCCGGUACAAACGGGGUAGUCGCACAGCAGGCAAAUCCGCUGUGCAUGAGACGAAGCCGUGAUGUGGAGCGAACUAAAGUAGUGAAGCAUGUGCCCCCUCCUGUCGAGAAAAGCCGCUAUUGUUUGCCAUGCGCCCGUACCGUAAACCGACACAGGUGGAUGAGGAGAGAAUCCUAAGGCCGGCGGGAGAAGCAUUGUCAAGGAACUCGGCAAAAUGACCCCGUAACUUCGGGAGAAGGGGUGCCCACGCAAGUGGGCCGCAGAGAAUAGGCUCAAGCAACUGUUUAGCAAAAACACAGGUCUAUGCGAAACCGUAAGGUGAUGUAUAUGGGCUGACGCCUGCCCGGUGCUGGAAGGUUAAGAGGAGAGGUUAGCGCAAGCGAAGCUUUGAAUCCAAGCCCCAGUAAACGGCGGCCGUAACUAUAACGGUCCUAAGGUAGCGAAAUUCCUUGUCGGGUAAGUUCCGACCCGCACGAAAGGCGUAAUGAUUUGAGCGCUGUCUCGACAAUGCAUCCGGUGAAAUUGAAGUACCAGUGAAGAUGCUGGUUACCUGCGCCAGGACGGAAAGACCCCAUGGAGCUUUACUCCAGUCUGGUACUGGGACUCGGUAUUGCAUGUACAGGAUAGGUGGGAGGCUAGGAGAUGGUAACGCCAGUUGCCAUGGAGCCGCUGUUGGGAUACCACCCUUGCAGUAUUGGGUUUCUAACCAGCCGCCGUGACCCGGCGGUGGGACAAUGCCAGACGGGGAGUUUGACUGGGGCGGUCGCCUCCGAAAGGGUAUCGGAGGCGCCCAAAGGUUCCCUCAGAAUGGACGGAAACCAUUCGAAGAGUGCAAAGGCAGAAGGGAGCUUGACUGCGACACCGACGGGUGGAGCAGGUACGAAAGUAGGACUUAGUGAUCCGGUGGUAUAAAGUGGGAUUGCCAUCGCUCAACGGAUAAAAGCUACCCUGGGGAUAACAGGCUUAUCACUCCCAAGAGUUCACAUCGACGGAGUGGUUUGGCACCUCGAUGUCGGCUCAUCGCAUCCUGGGGCUGUAGUAGGUCCCAAGGGUUGGGCUGUUCGCCCAUUAAAGCGGUACGCGAGCUGGGUUCAGAACGUCGUGAGACAGUUCGGUCCCUAUCCGGCGUGGGCGUAGGAUAUCUGAGAGGAGCUGUCCUUAGUACGAGAGGACCGGGAUGGACGGGCCGCUGGUGCAUCGGUUAGACUGCCAAGUCUACGGCCGAGUAGCCAAGCCCGGAAGGGAUAAACGCUGAAGGCAUCUAAGCGUGAAGCCCCCCUUAAGAUGAGAUAUCCCAUUCGAAAGAAGUAAACCCCCUUGAAGACGACGAGGUAGAUAGGGCAGAGGUGGAAGUGCAGCAAUGCAUGGAGCUGACUGUUACUAAUCGGGUGAGGGCUUGACCAA